CCUGCACACAAAAAUUGAGCCUUUCAAUAAUGUCUUCACUGGACGAUGACCUACAAACUUGACUCAGAUUUACCUAAAACGUAUGGUCAUGUAUAUAGACGCCAGAAAGCCCCUGGAACCAAGCAACCGGAACUUUGCUGAAGGGAAAACUAAGUUCUCUGCGUGGUUUGUCUCUCACUGCGACACCUCCAGCGGCAGGAAAGAGUUGGUUACGACACUGAGGAAAUGG